UCCUCCGAGGAAGAGAUUACAGGAACGUUC
rnacentral:piRNA from 1 species